rnacentral:lncRNA from 1 species
AUAGCAACAGCAGCGUAGCUGAACAUCUUACGGAUGGCCCAGGGCUCCAAAGGCUCGUUUCCUAAGUGAGAGAGAGCCUGGCUGAAGCUGUAUUACCAUUCAUUCUCCAGCCUCCGAAGUCUCAAAGCAUCACUUCCACCAUACUCUAACUGUCAAGACAAACACAAAGGCCCAGAAACUGCCAGACUGUCUUCUGAAGUGGCUAUAAUAUUUACACUCCCAUCAGCAGUGUAGAAGGGGUCUCACUAUGUUGUCUGGAGUGCUGUGGUGGAGUGGAGUGGCUAUUCACAGCUGAGUUUGCAGAGUAAACCACUACCCUGAAAUCUGGAAAGGCAGGUGCACCCACAGAUCCUCAGCUGAGAUCCAAUUACCUGAAAUAGAAGCUGCCAUUAGGAACACUUAAAAGAGCCUGUUCUGCUGGGACACAGAAUCACUUGCUCCAUCUCAUACAUUGAUGAUGAUUAAUUUGUAUGUGUACCUUCCAAAAAAGAUGGUUGUGUUUGAAUGGAGGCCUUCUGGACAGGAAAAUGUUCAAUCCUGCUGAUGCUCUCCAUGGAGAUGGUCAGCAAGUGCAAAGUACAAUUAACAUUUGAGUCUGUCUGAGUCAUGAAGAAAUGGAGAUUACUGAAAAUAAUUCAUUUUGGUAUCUUCUUACAUCCUGAGAGACUAAUCUUUCCAAGUUCAUCUGAGGCUCCUCUUCUCCAUGACAACCUCAUCCAGGGAUUUCUUCCUGUCCUGGUGUUUUAUGACAUAAUCACAUCCUUCCUGAGAUAAUGAGCACACAAUUGCCUGGAUACCUGAAGGAAUGGAGACAGCGGCAGAAAACACUGCAGAGAGGUGGAAACAUCCGUUAAUAUUUUAAAAUCCCAUUACUGCUACCAACAAUAAUAAUGGAUGCAUAGAAAUAGAUCUGGAUUAGCUGAGCUUGAAACAGUCCAUCUCACACACACACAAAAGAAUUUCAGAUACAGUGAACCCACAUGUUGAAGCUUUCUAGUAUAAUAAAAAUUUCAACUGUUCUGUUGAAUCAUCUGCCUGAUUGGAGGCUACAGAAAAGAUGUCAUCUUAGGAGUGCUUGCUCUGAGUGAGGCUCAUCUUCAAAUCUGAAUGACCACAAGGAGAUUUGAUUAUACAUGUGAACACCUCAGAAGGCACAGCCCACCCAGAAGGCAGACAGAAGAAGCUGCCAGGAAGACUGUGAAAUCUUCAUGCCCAAGGAUCCCUAAAAUUAGGAGCAACAACCACUUGGCUCAGACGGUUUAUGGAGGCAAAGGUUUGGAUGGGAUUAGAGAUUUCUAAAUGUGAGUUCGUGUCCUCUGCCAGACCACCUUACUUCCACCAUUCCUCAGCAAAUCAAGAAAAACAGGAGAAAAGACAUGCCUUUCCAUAAGUUAAAUCUAUUCUGUUUUAAUUCUAUAUUAUAUCUGCUGUACAACUUCUUUUGUUUGUAACACCAUAUUGUUGCUAGUAACUGGAAAUUAAUUUUCACAUGCCUCAGCUUAGAAAAAUAAAAAGCAGCCCUGCA